CGGUGGGUGCAUCGGACUGAGUUACAACACACACUGAGAUGAGAAGGGUAUGUAUGGACUUAUCUAACUCUGGGGGAUAAGGUGAAUAAGCUAAAGCCCCAAUAAGGCGGCGUGUUCCUUUAGGCAGAGCUACAUGCAUCACUGUAUAGUCUCGCUAUGCCAGACGCCCCACACGCUGCGGAGCAGAGGAAGGUCUGCCGAGUCCACCCAGCAUUCCGGGAUGGGAGAAAAACGUUCUCUGGCUUAUUGGCAUUUCUUUAAACCAAUCACAAUCAUCAUGGGUGGUGCUAAGCGCCGCACGGAGCGACUGCAAAAUAAUUGCGCGAGAGAAAACUCAGAUUGGACGUAUAGUCU